rnacentral:rRNA from 1 species
AUGGAGCCUCGGGUGCCGGCGGCGCCAGCGAAUCUGCCGCCGGUGUCGAGCAAGGCGGAGAAGUUCCCGGCGCGGCCGGGGUUCGGGACCAUCGGGCGGAGGUGCCGCGUCCGCGCCAACCAUUUCCUCGUGCAGGUCGCCGACAAGGAGAUCUACCACUACGAUGUGGCAAUUGAUCUGGAAACGAGGUCUCGCGGAUGGAACAGAUCAAUAAUCAACGAACUAGUUAAAUUGCACAAGGAACACUUGGACGGUAGGCUGCCUGUUUAUGAUGGAAGGAAGAGCCUAUAUACUGCUGGUGCACUGCCAUUCAAGAGCAAAGUAUUUGUCGUCAAACUUGCUAAUGCCGCGAAAGCGAAUAAACGGGAGGAGGAAUACAAGCUGACCGUAAAGCUUGCUUCAAAUCUGGAUAUGUACAGCGUUCGGCAGUUUUUGGCUGGUAGAAGCAGGGAGCUUCCACAGGACACUAUCCAAGCUCUCGACAUCGCCCUAAGGGAGAGCCCCACAACAAAGUAUGUAUCGAUAUCUAGAUCGUUCUUCUCUCAGUCAUUUGGACAUGGUGGCGCGAUUGGCAACGGUGUCGAAUGCUGGAGGGGUUAUUACCAAAGUCUUCGGCCCACACAGAUGGGAUUGUCACUAAAUAUUGAUAUUUCUGCAACGGCAUUUUACAAGGCCCAAGCAGCGGUGGAAUUUGCUCUUGAAUAUCUGAAUAUCCGAGAUGCUUCAAGGCCCUUGAUUGAUCAGGAUCGCAUUAAGUUGAAGAAAGCCCUUAGAGGUGUCCGGGUUGAGGCCACUCAUCGGACGGAUAAAACCAUACGCUACAAGAUCACUAGUGUAUCCUCAGCUCCAUUGAAGGAAUUAAUAUUUGAUCAAGAUGGUGUGCGCGUAUCAGUAGUCCAGUACUUUAAGAAGCAAUACAAUUACACUUUGAAAUAUACCAAUUGGCCAUGCCUUCAGGCUGGCAGUGACAGCAGACCGGUCUAUUUGCCUAUGGAGGUUUGCAGCAUUGUUGGAGGGCAAAGAUAUUCUCGGAAGUUGAAUGAACGCCAAGUUUCAAGCAUACUAAAGAUGGCAUGUGAAAGACCAGCUCAACGGGAGAGCAGUGUUCUAGAGAUUGUUAAUAGGAAUAAUUAUGGCAAUGAUGAAUAUUCCAAAGAAUUUGGCAUGAAAGUCAUGAACCAACUUGCAUUGGUCGAUGCUCGUGUACUACCUGCCCCAAGGCUUAAAUAUCAUGACUCUGGACGGGAAAAAGAAUGUAAUCCUUCAGUAGGACAAUGGAACAUGAUAAACAAGAGAAUGGUGAAUGGUGGAUCUAUCAACUAUUGGGCAUGUCUAACUUUCGCGUCUCGACUUCAUCCAAACGACAUUGGCAUGUUUUGCCGUGAUCUGGCUCACAUGUGCAAUAGCAUUGGCAUGGUAAUGAACAUGGAACCAUGCGUGAAUAUCACACAAGCGCGCCGUCAGGACACUGUGGAGUCUGCAAUCAGAAAUAUCCAUAGGCAUUCUGCAGAAGUGCUCACUAAGCAAGGUCUAGAAGGGAAGCAACUUGAAUUAUUGAUCAUCAUAUUACCUGAUAUUAGUGGUUCUUAUGGAAAGAUAAAACGGCUCUGUGAAACCGAGCUUGGAGUAAUAACUCAGUGCUGCUUACCCAAGAAUGUUCAGAAGGGUGGGAAACAAUACCUUGAAAAUCUUUCUCUGAAGAUCAAUGUUAAGGUUGGAGGUCGGAAUACGGUACUUGAAGAUGCUUUGUACAAGAGGAUACCCCUUCUGACUGACGUGCCUACUAUAGUUUUUGGAGCUGAUGUUACCCACCCAGCUGCUGGAGAAGAUGCAUGUCCAUCUAUUGCAGCAGUUGUUGCAUCUAUGGAUUGGCCAGAAGUAACAAAAUACAAAUGCUUGGUCUCUUCACAAGCCCAUAGGGAAGAAAUUAUUGCCGAUCUUUACGCAGAAAUAAAAGAUCCACAGAAGGGGCUUGUCGGCGGUGGGAUGAUAAGGGAGUUGCUUCUCUCAUUCUACAGAGCAACUGGAUGUAAACCUCACAGAAUUAUAUUUUAUAGAGAUGGCGUUAGUGAGGGACAGUUCAGCCAAGUGUUGCUUUAUGAAAUGGAUGCAAUUCGCAAGGCUUGUGCUACUUUACAGGCUGGUUACCUCCCGCCAGUCACAUUUGUUGUUGUGCAAAAGCGGCAUCACACUCGCCUAUUUCCUGAAAAUCAUCGUGCGCGGGAUCUGACGGAUAGAAGUGGGAAUAUCCUACCCGGUACCGUCGUCGACACAAAGAUAUGUCAUCCUACUGAGUUUGAUUUCUACCUCUGUAGCCAUGCUGGCAUUCAGGGAACAAGCCGCCCGACACACUAUCACGUUCUUCUCGACGAAAACCGUUUCAGUGCUGAUGCCCUGCAAACAUUGACCUACAAUCUUUGCUACACCUACGCCCGGUGCACGCGAUCGGUCUCUAUAGUUCCUCCGGCGUACUACGCGCACUUGGCGGCCUUCCGCGCGCGCUACUACAUGGAGGACGAGUUCUCAGACGGGGGCUCGUCGUCGGCCACAGCCCGGUCCGCGCCUGCGAGGCAGCUCCCCAAGAUCAGAGACAGUGUCAAGGAGUUCAUGUUCUACUGCUGA